rnacentral:rRNA from 1 species
ACGGGUGAGUAAUGUCUGGGGAUCUGCCCGAUAGAGGGGGAUAACCACUGGAAACGGUGGCUAAUACCGCAUAACGUCGCAAGACCAAAGAGGGGGACCUUCGGGCCUCUCACUAUCGGAUGAACCCAGAUGGGAUUAGCUAGUAGGCGGGGUAAUGGCCCACCUAGGCGACGAUCCCUAGCUGGUCUGAGAGGAUGACCAGCCACACUGGAACUGAGACACGGUCCAGACUCCUACGGGAGGCAGCAGUGGGGAAUAUUGCACAAUGGGCGCAAGCCUGAUGCAGCCAUGCCGCGUGUAUGAAGAAGGCCUUCGGGUUGUAAAGUACUUUCAGCGGGGAGGAAGGCAGUGAGGUUAAUAACCUUACUGAUUGACGUUACCCGCAGAAGAAGCACCGGCUAACUCCGUGCCAGCAGCCGCGGUAAUACGGAGGGUGCAAGCGUUAAUCGGAAUUACUGGGCGUAAAGCGCACGCAGGCGGUCUGUUAAGUCAGAUGUGAAAUCCCCGGGCUUAACCUGGGAACUGCAUUUGAAACUGGCAGGCUUGAGUCUCGUAGAGGGGGGUAGAAUUCCAGGUGUAGC